rnacentral:rRNA from 1 species
AUGAUGAACCACGCCGCCUUUGCUGCCGAGGACGCGGUCACCGCCGUGGCGGCGCCGGCGCAGCCGGGUCGCCAUUUCGUGUCGCUCCCGCCGCGGAGGGCGCGCGACUGCAGGAAGGCCUCCCUGAGCCGCAUGGACCUUGCCACCUCGGCGGUGCUGAUGGCCGGGUCUCUGCUGGACUCGAUGAAGGCCUCCUCGCCCCGCCACGCCAUGUCCCCCGCCGGCGCCGACCACGAGGAGUGGAUCGUAAGUUUCUUUCACAUGCACCCAUGGCUGCUGCUUGCUUUCUUUCCCACCCUCCCUCCCUCUCUUCAACCGAUUAUUGAGGAAUCUUUGCCUGAAUCACAGGAGAAGCACCCGUCAGCAUUGGAGUGGUUCGAGGGCGUGCUGGCGGCGGCCGAGGGAAAGCAGAUCGUCAUGUUCCUGGACUACGACGGCACCCUGUCGCCGAUCGUCGAGGACCCCGACCGCGCCGUCAUGACCGAAGAGAUGAGGGAUGCGGUGAGGGGCGUCGCCCAGCAUUUCCCGACCGCCAUCGUGAGUGGGAGAUGUAGAGACAAGGUGUUCAACUUUGUGAAACUGGAGGAGCUGUACUACGCCGGGAGCCACGGCAUGGACAUCAAGGGCCCAACCAAAGUGUCCAACCACAAGGCAAAGGCUGACGAGGUUCUGUGCCAGCCGGCGACCGAGUUCUUGCCUGUCAUUCAGGAGGUGUAUGAGACGCUGACGGCGAAGAUGGAGUCCAUCCCGGGGGCCAUGGUGGAGAACAACAAGUUCUGCCUCUCGGUGCACUUCCGCUGCGUCGAGGAGGCGGAAUGGGACGCUCUGGGCAGGGAGGUGAAGGCGGUGCUGGAGGACUACCCGAAACUCUGCCUCACCAAGGGGAGAAAGGUCCUCGAGAUCCGCCCCUUCAUCAAGUGGAACAAAGGAAACGCCCUUAAGUUCUUGCUCAAGUCUCUCGGCUAUGCGGGGCGUGGCGACGUUUUCCCGAUAUAUAUUGGAGAUGACCGCACAGACGAGGAUGCGUUCAAGGUGCUGCGCAACAUGGGACAAGGCAUCGGGAUCCUUGUGACCAAGUUUCCAAAGGACACUAGCGCAUCGUACUCUCUGCGUGAGCCUGCUGAGGUAAAGGAGUUCAUGCGCAAGCUAGUGAAGAGCAACGGGAUAAAGAAGGGUUAA